rnacentral:lncRNA from 1 species
UCAUAAGUAUCGCUAUUUUCAUCUUCCCCUAUUAACGCCAAAAACCUAGACGCCAACGGUUCCUUCUGAUGAUUUUCCCCUUUAAUCUCUCCUUUGUUAGAUCUAGCAUUUCCCCGACCAUUCCUCAAAUUUCGCUGCAAUUUCCUCUCAACCGGCAUCCACGGACCAAAUUCUGGUCUAGCUUCUUCGGCAUUUCCACCAGCGGCCUUAACCGACACAUCUUUGACUACUUCUGACUAGCUGAUAGGAUUUCGAUUCGCAUUCUCCUUAGGAGAAAAAUCUUUGACAUGACCAUAUUUUCCACGUCCAAAGCAAACCGUGGGGAGAGCCUCAUAUUCCACCCUCUGAGCGAUGCCAUCGAUCAAAACCUGAGAAAUCAAGGUUUGUCGAGAUUUAAAAAAAUAGCAAGACGAACAAACCGGCCUCUGGAUCUAUUAUCUGUGCAGAAAUCCAGUUUGACAACUUUUCCAAUAAGCCCC